ACAGAUUAUAUUUUCUUAAAGCUAAAGUUUCUCUAGCUGUCAGUUGAAAACAUUUUAGAAAUUGAAACAAUUACUAUUCCUCCCUUUACUCAAAGCUCCCAAAUUAUUAUCUCUACGAAUAUUUUAAUGACUAACCACCUUUUUCUUGCUCAGAAAACAAAGUCCUUAUUAAAUUUUAUUUUUACUAUAAAAAAUGAUUCACUUCAAAUGUGCAUAGGCCCAUCUUACUGUAAGUCAAUUGGUUUUAAAUAAACUCUCCCCUAACGAGGCUGUCCCAUCUCUACUGCUUGGUGCCUAGUCUUGAUUCAACUUUUGUCCAGCCCACAGCCCCUUACAAGACAUUCUUCUGUUAACAGACAGGAAGUUCCUUAUCUUCUAAAUUGUGUGACUCCAAAUUUAAUUACAUGCUUUAAGUAGAUAGAAAAUAUGCCUUGCUCAAAGAGAAAUUACUUGGGCUGGUACAAGAAAUUUCAGGGCCUGUGGCUUACAAGUCAGAUGGAAUGAUCUGACCUUCAACUCUGAAAAAAUGACGAGUUAAGAAGCUGAAGAAGAAAAGAUGAUGGGCAGAGGCCAAACCAAAGUGAUGAAAAGCAAAUUCCGAAGACCAAAAACCUCUGGAAAGAAGCAGCCUACCAUCAAGCAGUUACACUUGUUUCAAUGGUGACCCUUUCUCAUAAGGGAUUAGUAGCUGCUCAGGGUUCAUCACACAGGGAUCCAUAAGUCCAGUAUUUCAAGUAAAAUGAGAACUGCUUCAGCUCCUCCUCUUCCUUCACCCUGCAGUCAUAAUGAUCAUAAAAGGACCCACCUAAUUCCAGUCCUUCCAGUUGUGGGGUAAUCAUCUAAAUAUGCAGAUUACAGAAAAUUGAAGGGGGAUGCAAUAUA